rnacentral:other from 1 species
UAAACCCUGGAGGGUCAGUGAUUGGUGAUGCGUUUUUGAGCCAAUAAAGCGCAAUUAGGGUAGCUUACAACGGCCUUGUGUGCAUGCUCCGGGCAAUACCGGAGAAGCCUGAUGGGCUGUAGCCAACCCCCUCUUAACUUAAGAGGUUCAAAAUAAUUCCCAACACUGCCUUCCGGGGCUUUU